rnacentral:rRNA from 1 species
AUGCAAGUCGAACGCGAAAGUCCCGCAAGGGAUAAGUAGAGUGGCAAACGGGUGAGUAACACGUGGGUGACCUGCCUUCGAGUGGGGGAUAACGUUCCGAAAGGGACGCUAAUACCGCAUGACAUCCUGCCUUUGAACAGGCGGAAAUUAAAGCCGGGGAUCGCAAGACCUGGCGCUUGAAGAGGGGCCCGCGUCCGAUUAGCUAGUUGGUGGGGUAACGGCUCACCAAGGCAACGAUCGGUAGCCGGCCUGAGAGGGCGGACGGCCACACUGGGACUGAGACACGGCCCAGACUCCUACGGGAGGCAGCAGUAGGGAAUUGUUCGCAAUGGGCGCAAGCCUGACGACGCAACGCCGCGUGGAGGAUGAAGAUCUUCGGGUCGUAAACUCCUUUCGAUCGAGACGAAUGGCCCUGAGGUAAAUAGCCUCGGGGAAUGACGGUACCGAGAGAAGAAGCCCCGGCUAACUCCGUGCCAGCAGCCGCGGUAAUACGGGGGGGGCAAGCGUUGUUCGGAAUUACUGGGCGUAAAGGGCUCGUAGGCGGCCAACUAAGUCAGACGUGAAAUCCCUCGGCUUAACCGGGGAACUGCGUCUGAUACUGGAUGGCUGGAGUUUGGGAGAGGGAUGCGGAAUUCCAGGUGUAGCGGUGAAAUGCGUAGAUAUCUGGAGGAACACCGGUGGCGAAGGCGGCAUCCUGGACCAACACUGACGCUGAGGAGCGAAAGCCAGGGGAGCAAACGGGAUUAGAUACCCCGGUAGUCCUGGCCCUAAACGAUGA